CCUGCGGGCCCCGGGCUGCCAGUAAUAUUAUAAGAGUGUGGCAGCCCGAAAAUUAGGAGCAACCUCUUUAUAAGAGUUACUAAAUACCCCAAUACUAAGGAUAAGUUAUUGAGGCCUCAUUUGGGUUCAUUUCUCAGAAUCACUUUCUCUCUCUACUUUAUCUCUCUAGAAAUUCUCUCUCAACUCAUCCAUGGCGAUUUCAAAUCUCUGGCGAUAAUCUUCAUCGGAAUGCCUUCAAAAGAUCAAAACCUAAACCUAGCUCAGUCGAAUUGUCGUCGCUGCUCCGCCGUAGAUCAUCGGAAUACCUUCAGAACUUCGAUUACCGAAAACCUAGCUCCGUCGUAUCGCCGUCGCUGCUCCGCCAUAGAUCAUCGGAAUAGCAUAUGAACUUCGAUUACAGAAAACAGAGCUCCGUCAUUCCUCCGCCGUAGAAGAAGAUCAAUCUAUGUUGGACUUCUGUAGAUUCAUCUGGGACAAGAUCAAGCCAAGAAGAAAACAGCUACUCGUGAUGGUAUUGAAGAUCACAAUCAAUACGGCUUCGCCGGAAGCUCAAGAACACCAAGAACAGUUUGAAGAUGAAGCCCAGAAAUCUGUAGAGAAGAACCUGCAACUGCAGCAAACCAAGAACACGAUGAAGAUCGAACAGAGAUACCUGUUAUUCUUAGAAUAUGAUAGGAAAAUGGAUGAAUUAUCCAUCAAAAACAUGUUUUUGUUGUAAUUUUUAUUGUAAAAUGGAUCAAAAUGUUUACGAUCUUGUGAAGAAUCAUCGCUUAAUCGACGUUAUUGAAGAUUACUUACCUUGAAUUGAAGUUCUGAGAGUUUUCCGAUGAUCUACGGUGGAGCAGCGACGGCGAUUCGACGGAUCUAGGU